GGAUAAACGCAUGACUGUAUUGCACUUGCACUUAACAUUCUGUGCUGCUAUUCUGCAUAAGCUGCUACUCUCCACUGCACUUUAAUAUUCUGUGCCCAAGCUCCUCUUAUAUGUCUAUAUGCUUUAGAUCAUAUUUUAUGUAUUUUUAUCCUAUUUAUUUACUUGUUUUAUACUGACACUAGCUGGGGAACAAUAUUUCAUUUUUGUGUGUACGGAAGAACACAUGACAAUGACAAUAAAGUAAAUCUUGAAUCUUCCACACCCACAGAGCCAUUGCCUCCAAAUGGAACUGAUGUCAAAAUGGAACUGAACCAAUCAAGUCCCAAAGAAAUAUUUAGCAACAACCAGGCAGAGUUGAAGUGUAUCAUUACUGGACAAGACCCGAAUGUUGUAAAUCAAAUUCAAAUCACUUGGCAAAUCAAUGGAUCCCCUGUGACCAACACCAUCCCAACAACACAGUCGGGAGUCAGCACAAUGACUCUUACCCUCACUGAGUGGUACAAAGUCAACAACGUGCGCUGUUCUGCCAGGAAAGACGAUAUGACACUAGCUAGUCAGGUUCUGACUUUCCGCAAAGGAGAUCGGAGCGAGCCAAAAGUAACAGUCCACAUCCUCCCAGAUGAGGACAUCAUCGAUGAGGUCACUCUGGUGUGUCUGGUCUCCAGUCGGAUGCAGCAGGAUUACUACAUUGCCUGGUCAGAACAUAUUGGAACAAACCCCCCCAUCUAUACUGAUGGCAUUAACUUCCCCCCAGAGAAGACCAAACAAGGCUACUCAGUUGCAAGUAUUUACACCGCCACCAAAGAAAAGUGGAACAACUUCAUCAUGUUCUCCUGCAACGUAUGGCCUGGUAGUGGCGACAAGCCUAUUAAAUCCAGAGAUGUGUCUAAGGCCCUGAGAAACUCAUUUGAAUGUGAUAAAUAGUAGAUUCAGCUUUAAAUGUGGCAGUUUGUGCUAAUGUGUUGUUCUGUCUCUGUGUGUACUCUCUGCCAUGAGAACCUGUCUUUGUGAUUGUAAUUUACUAUUGUUUGUCAUAUUGUGUUUCAAUCUGUCUACGUCACAUUGUCUAACAGCUUGAGAAGUGUGCUGACUGUUUCAAAUAAAUGUUGCAUGGAGAC